UACGUAGGGGGCAAGCGUUGUCCGGAAUCAUUGGGCGUAAAGCGCGCGUAGGCGGCCCUGUAAGUCCGUUGUGAAAGUCAAAGGCUCAACCUUUGAAAGCCGAUGGAUACUGCAGGGCUAGAGUCCGGAAGAGGCGAGUGGAAUUCCUGGUGUAGCGGUGGAAUGCGCAGAUAUCAGGAGGAACACCGGUGGCGAAGGCGGUGGUCUGGGCCGGCACUGACGCUGAGGAGCGAAAGCGUGGGGAGCGAACAGG
rnacentral:rRNA from 1 species